rnacentral:rRNA from 1 species
UACAGAGGGUGCAAGCGUUAAUCGGAAUUACUGGGCGUAAAGCGCGCGUAGGUGGUUUGUUAAGUUGGAUGUGAAAUCCCCGGGCUCAACCUGGGAACUGCAUCCGAAACUGCCUUGCUCGAGUAUGGGAGAGGGAAGUGGAAUUUCCGGUGUAGCGGUGAAAUGCGUAGAUAUCGGAAGGAACAUCAGUGGCGAAGGCGACUUCCUGGACCAAUACUGACGCUCAGGUGCGAAAGCGUGGGGAGCAAACAGG